UGGAAUUGACCAAUGGGAUAGCCUGAGGACCGGUGCCCUGUCCAAACGAGUUAAUAUACAACUUGGAUGAUAUGAAUCCCGCUUUACAAGGACAAGCGGCUAUCGGAGUGGGGGAUUACAAACCGAUAGAAGGAUGCCCCGGACUGUAUCCUGGAUGGUACAAACCGGAAACGGAAACAAUAAACCUCCAAACGAAAAAGAAUGACAUAAAUACCACCGACGACGAGCGAUAUAAGGAAACGUUAAACGGUUAGGAAGGGAGCUAUACAAUUUAAAGGAUGACCCGUAUGAACAUCACGACUUGUCCCUGUCACACAGCAAUAUUGCGGAGGAGCUGAGUAAGAAAAUAGCUGAAUAUCACAAACAGAUGAUUCCCGCUAAUUUCGCAAAAAACUCUGCAGCUUUCAACCCUGAACAUUUCAAAGGAUAUUGGUCCCCUGGCUGUUGCUAAUGAACAAACAUGUUACUGAGGCAUGAUAUAUCUGAUACUGUUACACAUCUGAAUCUAAAGCAUGUUUAAGGGUCAAUAUCUAAAUCAAGAACAAAUCGUAUACCUGAACAUAAGCCAACUUCCAGCAGUCGGGACAGACUAAACGACAAAACAUGUUCCAUCACCUCAGGCAUUGGCAUACAUCGUGGCAAAACAUUGUGAAGCAUCUUUCAACAGACAUACACCGUGACAAAACGGAACGAAGAAUCUGAAACAACGAAACACACCAUGACCUAAGAAUUUUCGAAUUGUACUAUAUUGUGUAAUAUAUUAGCUUGUUCGUUUUUAUU